CUCGACGGAAAAAACAGCUGGUUGAAGCCCAGAGGAAAUUCCAGAAUCUUAAAAGCCGUUGCUGGAGAGGCUUCAGGCUCGAGGGGACUGCCGCCCUCACGUUACAGGAAAAAGAAAGUAACUCAGCGCCCCGAGAGCUUAAGCCUCACCCGGCAGACGCGGAGCCAGAUCCCAGGGCCAGGGAGCAACGUCCUCAUCCGCAAGGCGCGUGGAUCCUCCAGGCGACCAUGGACUUGGAAGGCGCCCUCUGGUCCUGCAGAGAAGAGGCAGGGCAGAGGCCCCACCUGAGCUCCUGAGCCAGGGCGGCCAGACACACGGGAUUGGACACCGGCCUUCUUCCUCUGACAUCAUGUUUGGGCCUCAGUUGCCUCUUCUGGAAACGAGUUCUCAGAUCCUUGGCAGCCCACGGUUGGCUCACAGACAGCGGCGCAGGCGCUGAGGGUUGGACGCUCGGCAGAAGCCAAACCACCUGGGGCAAGAGGCUGGCCAAGUGCCUCAGACGAGAGGCACACAGACUGUUUCCUUCCAGAGAGACCCAGCCCAGACCAGAGCCAGCUCCCGGGGAGCGGAAGCCACGGAGAAGCCAGCCGGCCCCUGGAGCUUCGAGGACCCUCCCUUUCCUCAAG